rnacentral:rRNA from 1 species
AUUGAACGCUGGCGGCAGGCUUAACACAUGCAAGUCGAGCGGAGAUGAGGUGCUUGCACCUUAUCUUAGCGGCGGACGGGUGAGUAAUGCUUAGGAAUCUGCCUAUUAGUGGGGGACAACAUUCCGAAAGGAAUGCUAACACCGCAUACGUCCUACGAGAGAAAGCAGGGGAUCUUCGGACCUUGCGCUAAUAGAUGAGCCUAAGUCGGAUUAGCUAGUUGGUGGGGUAAAGGCCUACCAAGGCGACGAUCUGUAGCGGGUCUGAGAGGAUGAUCCGCCACACUGGGACUGAGACACGGCCCAGACUCCUACGGGAGGCAGCAGUGGGGAAUAUUGGACAAUGGGGGGAACCCUGAUCCAGCCAUGCCGCGUGUGUGAAGAAGGCCUUAUGGUUGUAAAGCACUUUAAGCGAGGAGGAGGCUACUGAGACUAAUACUCUUGGAUAGUGGACGUUACUCGCAGAAUAAGCACCGGCUAACUCUGUGCCAGCCGCCGCCGUAAGAC